rnacentral:rRNA from 1 species
CCUACGGGCGGCUGCAGUAGGGAAUUUUCCGCAAUGGACGAAAGUCUGACGGAGCAACGCCGCGUGAGUGAAGAAGGUUUUCGGAUCGUAAAACUCUGUUGUAAGGGAAGAACAAGUACGUUAGUAACUGAACGUACCUUGACGGUACCUUACCAGAAAGCCACGGCUAACUACGUGCCAGCAGCCGCGGUAAUACGUAGGUGGCCAGCGUUAUCCGGAAUUAUUGGGCGUAAAGCGCGCGUAGGCGGUCUCUUAAGUCUGAUGUGAAAGCCCCCGGCUCAACCGGGGAGGGUCAUUGGAGACUGGGAGACUUGAGUGCAGAAGAGGAGAGUGGAAUUCCAUGUGUAGCGGUGAAAUGCGCAGAGAUAUGGAGGAACACCAGUGGCGAAGGCGGCUCUCUGGUCUGUAACUGACGCUGAGGUGCGAAAGCGUGGGGAGCAAACAGGAUUAGAUACCCGGGUAGUC